rnacentral:rRNA from 1 species
CCUGGUUGAUCCUGCCAGUAGUCAUAUGCUUGUCUCAAAGAUUAAGCCAUGCAUGUGUAAGUAUGAACUAUUUCAGACUGUGAAACUGCGAAUGGCUCAUUAAAUCAGUUUUAGUUUGUUUGAUGGUACGUGCUACUCGGAUAACCAUAGUAAUUCUAGAGCUAAUACAUGCAACAAACCCCGACUUCCAGAAGGGAUGCAUUUAUUAGAUAAAAGGCUGACGUAGGCUUUACCCGCUGCUCCAAUGAUUCAUGAUAACUCAACGGAUCGCACGGCCCUCGUGCGGUGACGAUCAUUCAAAUUUCUGCCCUAUCAACUUUCGAUGGUAGGAUAGGGGCCUACCAUGGUGGUGACGGGUGACGGAGAAUUAGGGUUCGAUUCGGAGAGGAGCCUGAGAAACGGCUACCACAUCCAAGGAAGGCAGUAGGUCGCAAAAUUACCCAAUCCUGACACAGGGAGGUAGUGACAAUAAAUAACAAUACCGGGCUCUUCGAGUCUGGUAAUUGGAAUGAGUACAAUCUAAAUCCCUUAACGAGGAUCCAUUGGAGGGAAAGUCUGAUGCCAGCAGCCACGGUAAUUCCAGCUCCAAUAGCAUAUAUUUAAGUUGUUGCAGUUAAAAAGCUCAGAAGUUGGACUUUGGGACGGGUCGGUCGGUCCGCCUGGCGGUGUACACCGGUCGUCCCCAUCCCUUCUGUCGGCGAUCGUGCCUGGCCUUAACUGGCGGGUCAUGCCUCCGGCGCUGUUACUUUGAAGAAAUUAGAGUGCUCAAAGCAAGCCCACGCUCUGGAUACAUUAGCAUGGGAUAACAUCACAGGAUUUCGGUCCUAUUGUGUUGGCCUUGGGGAUCGGAGUAAUGAUUAAGAGGGCCAGUCGGGGAAUUCGUAUUUCAUAGUCAGAGGUGAAAUUCUUGGAUUUAUGAAAGAUGAACCACUGCGAAAAGCAUUUGCCAAGGAUGUUUUCAUUAAUCAAGAACGAAAGUUGGGGCUCGAAGACGAUCAGAUACCGUCCCUAGACUCAACCAUAAAUGAUGCCGACCAGGGAUCGGCGGAUGUUGCUCUUAGGACUCCGUCGGCACCUUAUGAGAAAUCAGUCUUUGGGUUCGGGGAGUAUGGUCGCAAGGCUGAAACAUAAAGGAAUUGACGGAAGAGCACCACCAGGAGUGGAGCCUGCGGCUUAAUUUGACUCAACACGGGAAACAUACUAGGUCCAGACAUAGCAAGGAUUGAUUGGUGCUGCCCUCGCCGCUUCGCUGUCCGCCGCCGCCGCCCAUUUCCUUCGCUCAAAAAAUGGCCAGUUUUGGCCCAUUUUUGGCCAGUUUUUGGGCAGUUCUUGUGUGCCACAGCGAAACGACGUGGAGCGAGCAAAACGUCAGCCAUCUCAGCACCCUGGAACCCCGGGUGGCACAGGGCUGGAUGGGGCGUUAAAUAUAGCAGGGACGGUGCUGCCUCUCCUUCGCUUGCUGUCCGCUGUCGCCGCCGCGCUUCGCUCAGCCAAAAAUGGCCAGUUUUGGCCCGUUUCUGGGCCGUUUUGGCCAGUUUUUGGGCAGUUCUUGCGUGCGUCGCGAA